GGACAUGGAGGAGUGACCAGGAAGCACCAGGAAUUACUUCAAUGCCUGGCACAAAAGACACCAAUAAAUGAUUGCUGAUAUUUUAACCAGCUUCCUGGCGGGCUCCAGGAGCUCCGGAUUGCUCUACACCUGGGAAGUUUGCUACGGAAGCCUUAAAGGAGCC